UACGGAAGGGGCAAGCGUUGUUCGGAAUCAUUUGGGUGUACGGUAAAGGGCGCGUGAUGGUGGUUCUGUAUGUCAUACCGUGAAAGCGUACGGCUCAAACCGUAUUUUGUCGGUUAGAAACGUGCAGGACUUGAGGCUGGGUGGGGCUGGUGGAAUUCCCUGUGUAGCGGUGAAAUGCGUAGAGAUGGGGAGAACGACUCGUGGCGAAGGCGGCCAGCUAGACCGAGUUCUGACACUGAGGCGCGACAGCGUGGGGAGCAAACAGG
rnacentral:rRNA from 1 species